rnacentral:rRNA from 1 species
UACAGAGGGGGCAAGCGUUGUUCGGAAUUACUGGGCGUAAAGGGCGCGUAGCGGCCGCCUAAGUCAGACGUGAAAUCCCUCGGCUCAACCGGGGGAACUGCGUCUGAUACUGGGUGGCUUGAAUUCGGGAGAGGGAUGCGGAAUUCCAGGUGUAGCGGUGAAAUGCGUAGAUAUCUGGAGGAACACCGGUGGCGAAGGCGGCAUCCUGGACCGAGAUUGACGCGUG